rnacentral:lncRNA from 1 species
AAAUCAGGGCACCCAGUGGCCGCUGCCAGGCUGAGCUAUGGAGCCAGAGCAGCUGGAAACGGCCUCCCGUGGGCCGAGUUAGGCGAGAGAGCCUGGUGGUGAAACCGACCUGGGGCCCAGCCCUAUGGAGCUCACAGUCUGGUGGGGAAGUCUAUGAAACAAGUGUACAGUCACCAAUUGUGAUAAGCUCAAAAGAGAGAGGUGUGAACCAUAGGCGGGAACAGAUGUGCCAUCGAAAUUUUUCCACCUGAGUUGCCGUUUUCCAGUAUGAAUAUUUUUCUGUGCCACAAAUCCAAAAGACAUUUUGGUGACAAACAGCCUAUAAGAGGACACUCAGCACUUUGGGAGGCUGAGGCGGCAGAUCACUUGAGGUCAGGAGUUCGAGAUCAGCCUGGCCAAUAUGGAAAAAUCCCGUUUCUAACUAAAAAUACAAAAAUUAGCCAGGCGUAGUCGCGGUUGCCUGUAGUCCCAGCUACUUGGGAGGCUGAGGCAGGAGAAUCACUUGAACCUGGGAAGUGGAGGUUGCAGUGAGCCAAGAUUAUGCCACUGCACUCCAGCCUGGGCAAGAGAGUGAAACUCUGUCUGGGAAAAAAAAAAAGAAGACACUCAGACUUACAAUAACUGACUUUUGCUUUAUUGUGUAAUUUACACAGGACAACCCCAAAUUCCACACUUCGUUUUUCUCUUCUGCCUUCAUUAUUCUUUCAAUAUCUACGUCAACAGAAAUCGUUUCUCCCAAUAACAUAUGUGGUUUGAUCCUCAGCCAGGACGCACAGGCCCUACAAGAUCCCAGCCCUCCAACACGGACACCUGGACCCUCCCAUUUGACUGCAGCCUUGUCUGUUUGUACCGGGGCUCUGCCCUGGUCCUGUCACCCCUGAGACGUCCGUAAGGUAGGAAUGCCAAACAGGAUCUGUGUGAUGUGUCAACUCUGAGUAAAUACAAGAGGCUGCUAGGAGCCCCCAGCUGAGGAUUGAGAGGCAGGCUGUGUCUGGUUCCAUUUCAAAGAAUGCUGUGAUGCAUUAGCAGCGUCUGCUAUGGCAACACCCAUUAGAAGCACCUGGAAGGGGGGUUUUGGGAAACGGGCUCAGAAAGGAGCAAGGUGUGUCCGUUCCAUUCUUGCCUUAGGUGGCUGUUCCGUUACCCAGGCUAUGCUGUCUCAGUGGCCAGGUGGCUGAGGAGGAAGUCUGAAGGCCGCAUAGUUGCAAGUGGCUUCCCUAGGGCCUGCAGGGGACAGCAUAGGCCCAAAGCUAGAGGAAGCUUGGAAGGGCGCCCACGCUGGGUCCUGCGGGGCUCUGCAUACUGCAGGCCACCAUGGCGCUAGCUCCUUACCCUCUGGAGUCUGUCUCAUCCAGGAGAAGACAGCUGGCUGGCCUCAGAGCGUUACAUGCAACUCGGGUGAAAACAUUUUUACAUGACACAGACACACAAUGGGCUUUACCUCUGGAUAAACUUAGAAACUUUCCAUCCAAACGAAAAGGGUGUAUCUUCUGUAUGUUGCCAAGAAGCCUAAACUGAGUACAAGGACGAUCUUACUUUAAUCAAGUUCCAGAAUGAGGGUACACAGCUUCGAAAAGCAGUCUGUAGCAGAAGAUGCAAGGGUGUGUGUAGCCAUGUUUCCAGAAUAUACCAAAGGAAACACACACAACCCCAGUGUGGCCUUUUGCGAACCCUCGAUGCUGCUCCAUACUGGGGGCAGGCGGCUACUUCGUCCAGCUGACUUUGGGAAUGUCGUAAUGCUCCGUGAGUGUGUCCAGGUGUCUGUUGAAGUCCUGGGGAGGUGGAGUAGAAGGCCGGUGUCAGCGCAGACCCAAGUGGGGUACUGGGGAGAAGUGGCACUGCCCAGCCCCACCUCUCCCACAUCCUAUCUCUCCUGAGCCCCCUCCUCUCAAACUCACCCUGCCAGGUCUUACAGACUCCUGAACCCUGGGCUCCCCUUUGAAUAACCCUGGGGAAGUGUCACUUCUAUUAGGUAAACUUCCCUUCUCGUCAACAUGCCAACAGCUCCCUCUGCCAGCUGAUAGCCUCUGGGCCCAGCUGGGACCCUGAAUGGCUCAGUCUCCCCCACUGGACACGGCGACUCACCUCCACUCUCUGCUUGUGGGUUUUGGAUGCCUUCUUUAGGAUCCUUUCCAUUUGCUGGAGAGAGAAGAGACAUGGAGGUGAGUUUACAGGCUCAACACAGCCCAGGCUGGCAUGGGGUGGAAGAUGGAGCCUGGCCAGACUGGCUCUCACAUUUAGAACAGCUGGAGGUUUCAGGCUCUGUGCCUUGUCCCCCUCCCUCAACUCCACCCAGGCUGGUCCAACAGGGAACCCAGGUCACUUGCCAGCUUCGUGAGUGGCAGGAAAUGAACCAGCAAUGCCUGAGCGCGUACCCAUGAGCAGACUCUGCUGGGAGCUGUCGGCAUGCUUCCUGCAUCCUGAGGAGGCUGUUAGCACUCCCAGUUUGGAGGAAAACAAAGUCCCAGAGCGGGUUUCAGGAAUGAUGAGAAAGAGAGAGGUAAAGGGUCUGACAUAGAGCAGGUGCUCAAGUGACACUUCCCAUCCUGAUGUUAGGGCUACAAGACCAGGAUCACCAUCCCCAGGGUUAUUCUGAAAUAUGCCUCCUGCACCAUGACCUGCUCUGAUCCUCACUUCAAACACUCAAUGACACCUGGAAAGGUCAGUAUCUGGUAGCAGCUGGGAGUGUGGGCUGGGCGCGGUGGCUCAUGCCUGUAAUCCCAGCACUUUGGGAGGCUAAGGCAGGAGGAUAGCUUGAGCCCAGGAGUUCAAGACUAGCCUGGGCAACAUAAGGAGACCCCAACUCUACAAGAAAAUCAGCUGAUUUUGGUGGUGCACACCUGUGGUCCCAGCUACUCAAGAGGCUGGGGUGAGA